rnacentral:lncRNA from 1 species
UGAUAUUUGUUUCUAUACCUGAAACGUACAUGCAUGUCGCUGAACCGGAAGUUACAUGCUGAGGGGGAAAAAGUAAUCUUGGAUGGUCAGGUCCUUAUGUUGGGAUGGGUUCGUAGCAAUGGCAGCAUCAUACACAUUACCUGGAGUUGGUCGAGGGAGAGGUACUUGACAAGGCCGCUGCAGACGGUGCUAAUAUAAAAUCAGCUGAAUACAUUACCUUUUGAGCUGUAUACAUGUGGAUGGAAUUAUACUAAUAUAAAAUCUCACUGCUAGCUAAAACAGGAUGAGCUCGAUGCUAAUUACACCCUCCCAAAAAAAAAAGCAGUUAUCCCUCUUCUGAAGAACGCAAUUACAUGCUAAAAAUUAAGCAUACUGCAGUUUAUAUGCCUUAUGCUGAGAAAAAAAAAAGAGUAAUCUUGGAUUGACAGGUCCUUAUAUUGGGAUGGGUUCGUAGCAAUGGCAGCAUCAUAUUACCUGGAGUUGGUCGAGGGAGAGGUACUUGACGAGGCCGCUGCAGAUGGUGCGCGGCUGCUCCUCGCCCACGUCGACCUCCUCCACGUACAGCGUGUC